rnacentral:rRNA from 1 species
UACGGAGGGUGCAAGCGUUGUCCGGAUUUAUUGGGGUUAAAGGGUGCGUAGGCGGCCUUGUAAGUCAGUGGUGAAAGCCUCCAGCUCAACUGGAGAACUGCCAUUGAUACUGCAAGGCUUGAGUACAGACGAGGUUGGCGGAAUUGAUUGUGUAGCGGUGAAAUGCAUAGAUACAAUCAAGAACUCCGAUUGCGUAGGCAGCUAACUAGGCUGUAACUGACGCUGAGGCACGAAAGCGUGGGGAGCGAACAGG